AGCGAUGAAAUCAGAGGGCGUGCUAAGAGCGUUGUCUGGUGGAGCUUUCGGGAAGGGUUGCACAGCGAUACCUCGACUUAGCGUAGGCAUUUUUGCCGAAAGAAAAUGUG
rnacentral:sRNA from 1 species